rnacentral:rRNA from 1 species
UCCGUAGGUGAACCUGCGGAAGGAUCAUUAAUGAAUUCACUCUUGAAGCUGUUGCUGGCCUCUAGGGGCAUGUGCACGCUUCAUCAGUCCAAUUCCCCCAACCACCUGUGCACUUUUGAUAGACUCACGUCUAUAUUAUCACACACACUUUGUAUGUCAAUGAAUGUUACAUAUGUGGGCCAUGUGCCUAUAAAACCUAAUACAACUUUCAACAACGGAUCUCUUGGCUCUCGCAUCGAUGAAGAACGCAGCGAAAUGCGAUAAGUAAUGUGAAUUGCAGAAUUCAGUGAAUCAUCGAAUCUUUGAACGCACCUUGCACCCCUUGGUAUUCCGAGGGGUAUGCCUGUUUGAGUGUCAUUAAAUUCUCAAACCUAUAUAUUGCUUUUGUGAGUAUAGGCUUGGAUUGUUGGGGGCUGCUGGCUUUCACUAGCCAGCUCCUCUUAAAUGCAUUAGCGGGACUCUGUUGCCUCUGCGUAUAUGGUGUGAUAAUUAUCUACAUCAGCUGCAUGCGAUCACUCCAGCUCUCUAAUUGUAGCAAUACCCUUGACCAUUUGACCUCAAAUCAGGUAGGACUACCCGCUGAACUUAAGCAUAUCAAUAAGCGGAGGA